GGGUGGACAGGUGGUGCAUGGUUGUCGUCAGCUCGUGUCGUGAGAUGUUGGGUUAAGUCCCGCAACGAGCGCAACCCUCGACCUUAGUUGCCAGCAUUCAGUUGGGCACUCUAAGGUGACUGCCGGCCAAAAAGUCGGAGGAAGGUGGGGAUGACGUCAAAUCAUCAUGCCCCCUUAUGACCUGGGCUACACACGUGCUACAAUGGGCGGUACAAAGGGUCGCGAACCCGCGAGGGGGGAGCCAAUCCCAAAAAGCCGCUCUCAGUUCGGAUUGCAGGCUGCAACUCGCCUGCAUGAAGCCGGAAUCGCUAGUAAUCGCGGAUCAGCAUGCCGCGGUGAAUACGUUCCCGGGCCUU
rnacentral:rRNA from 1 species